rnacentral:rRNA from 1 species
UUAAGCGACUAAGCGUACACGGUGGAUGCCCUGGCAGUCAGAGGCGAUGAAGGACGUGCUAAUCUGCGAAAAGCGUCGGUAAGGUGAUAUGAACCGUUACAGCCGGCGAUGUCCGAAUGGGGAAACCCAGUGCAAUUCGUUGCACUAUCGUUAACUGAAUACAUAGGUUAACGAGGCGAACCGGGGGAACUGAAACAUCUAAGUACCCCGAGGAAAAGAAAUCAACCGAGAUUCCCCCAGUAGCGGCGAGCGAACGGGGAGCAGCCCAGAGUCUGAAUCAGCUUGUGUGUUAGUGGAACGGUCUGGAAAGUCCGACGGUACAGGGUGAUAGUCCCGUACACCAAAAUGCACAGGCUGUGAACUCGAAGAGUAGGGCGGGACACGUGGUAUCCUGUCUGAAUAUGGGGGGACCAUCCUCCAAGGCUAAAUACUCCUGACUGACCGAUAGUGAACCAGUACCGUGAGGGAAAGGCGAAAAGAACCCCGGCGAGGGGAGUGAAAAAGAACCUGAAACCGUGUACGUACAAGCAGUGGGAGCACCUUCGGGUGUGACUGCGUACCUUUUGUAUAAUGGGUCAGCGACUUAUAUUCUGUAGCAAGGUUAACCGUAUAGGGGAGCCGCAGGGAAACCGAGUCUUAACUGGGCGUUAAGUUGCAGGGUAUAGACCCGAAACCCGGUGAUCUAGCCAUGGGCAGGUUGAAGGUUGGGUAACACUAACUGGAGGACCGAACCGACUAAUGUUGAAAAAUUAGCGGAUGACUUGUGGCUGGGGGUGAAAGGCCAAUCAAACCGGGAGAUAGCUGGUUCUCCCCGAAAGCUAUUUAGGUAGCGCCUCGUGAAUUCAUCUUCGGGGGUAGAGCACUGUUUCGGCUAGGGGGUCAUCCCGACUUACCAACCCGAUGCAAACUACGAAUACCGAAGAAUGUUAUCACGGGAGACACACGGCGGGUGCUAACGUCCGUCGUGAAGAGGGAAACAACCCAGACCGCCAGCUAAGGUCCCAAAGUCAUGGUUAAGUGGGAAACGAUGUGGGAAGGCACAGACAGCCAGGAUGUUGGCUUAGAAGCAGCCAUCAUUUAAAGAAAGCGUAAUAGCUCACUGGUCGAGUCGGCCUGCGCGGAAGAUGUAACGGGGCUAAACCAUGCACCGAAGCUGCGGCAGCGACNNNNNNNNNNUGCUGGAGGUAUCAGAAGUGCGAAUGCUGACAUAAGUAACGAUAAAGCGGGUGAAAAGCCCGCUCGCCGGAAGACCAAGGGUUCCUGUCCAACGUUAAUCGGGGCAGGGUGAGUCGACCCCUAAGGCGAGGCCGAAAGGCGUAGUCGAUGGGAAACAGGUUAAUAUUCCUGUACUUGGUGUUACUGCGAAGGGGGGACGGAGAAGGCUAUGUUAGCCGGGCGACGGUUGUCCCGGUUUAAGCAUGUAGGCUGGUUGUCCAGGCAAAUCCGGAUAAUCAAGGCUGAGGUGUGAUGACGAGGCACUACGGUGCUGAAGUAACAAAUGCCCUGCUUCCAGGAAAAGCCUCUAAGCAUCAGGUAACAUUAAAUCGUACCCCAAACCGACACAGGUGGUCAGGUAGAGAAUACCAAGGCGCUUGAGAGAACUCGGGUGAAGGAACUAGGCAAAAUGGUGCCGUAACUUCGGGAGAAGGCACGCUGGUGUGUAGGUGAAGUCCCUGCGGAUGGAGCUGAGACCAGUCGAAGAUACCAGCUGGCUGCAACUGUUUAUUAAAAACACAGCACUGUGCAAACACGAAAGUGGACGUAUACGGUGUGACGCCUGCCCGGUGCCGGAAGGUUAAUUGAUGGGGUUAUCCGUAAGGAGAAGCUCUUGAUCGAAGCCCCGGUAAACGGCGGCCGUAACUAUAACGGUCCUAAGGUAGCGAAAUUCCUUGUCGGGUAAGUUCCGACCUGCACGAAUGGCGUAAUGAUGGCCAGGCUGUCUCCACCCGAGACUCAGUGAAAUUGAACUCGCUGUGAAGAUGCAGUGUACCCGCGGCAAGACGGAAAGACCCCGUGAACCUUUACUAUAGCUUGACACUGAACAUUGAGCCUUGAUGUGUAGGAUAGGUGGGAGGCUUUGAAGCGUGGACGCCAGUCUGCGUGGAGCCAACCUUGAAAUACCACCCUUUAAUGUUUGAUGUUCUAACGUUGGCCCCUUACCGGGGUUGCGGACAGUGUCUGGUGGGUAGUUUGACUGGGGCGGUCUCCUCCCAAAGCGUAACGGAGGAGCACGAAGGUUAGCUAAUCCUGGUCGGACAUCAGGAGGUUAGUGCAAUGGCAUAAGCUAGCUUGACUGCGAGCGUGACGGCGCGAGCAGGUGCGAAAGCAGGUCAUAGUGAUCCGGUGGUUCUGAAUGGAAGGGCCAUCGCUCAACGGAUAAAAGGUACUCCGGGGAUAACAGGCUGAUACCGCCCAAGAGUUCAUAUCGACGGCGGUGUUUGGCACCUCGAUGUCGGCUCAUCACAUCCUGGGGCUGAAGUAGGUCCCAAGGGUAUGGCUGUUCGCCAUUUAAAGUGGUACGCGAGCUGGGUUUAGAACGUCGUGAGACAGUUCGGUCCCUAUCUGCCGUGGGCGCUGGAGAAUUGAGGGGGGCUGCUCCUAGUACGAGAGGACCGGAGUGGACGCAUCACUGGUGUUCGGGUUGUCAUGCCAAUGGCACUGCCCGGUAGCUAAAUGCGGAAGAGAUAAGUGCUGAAAGCAUCUAAGCACGAAACUUGCCCCGAGAUGAGUUCUCCCUGAGACUUUAAGUCUCCUGAAGGAACGUUAAAGACGAUGACGUUGAUAGGCCGGGUGUGUAAGCGCAGCGAUGCGUUGAGCUAACCGGUACUAAUGAACCGUGAGGCUUAACCUU